GCCAGACUCCUACGGGAGGCAGCAGUGGGGGAUAUUGCACAAUGGGGGGAACCCUGAUGCAGCGACGCCGCGUGGGUGAAGGAGCGUUUCGGCGCGUAAAGCCCUAUCGGCAGGGAAGAAGGAGGACGGUACCUGACUAAGAAGCCCCGGCUAACUACGUGCCAGCAGCCGUGGUAAUACGUAGGGGGCAAGCGUUAUCCGGAUUUACUGGGUGUAAAGGGGGCGCAGACGGCAGCGCAAGCCAGGAGUGAAAGCCCGGGGCCCAACCCCGGGACUGCUCUUGGAACUGCGCGGCUGGAGUGCAGGAGGGGCAGGCGGAAUUCCUGGUGUAGCGGUGAAAUGCGUAGAUAUCAGGAGGAACACCGGUGGCGAAGGCGGCCUGCUGGACUGCGACUGACGUUGAGGCCCGAAAGCGUGGGGAGCAAACAGGAUUAGAUACCCUUGUA
rnacentral:rRNA from 1 species